rnacentral:rRNA from 1 species
GAUGAACGCUAGCGACAGGCUUAACACAUGCAAGUCGAGGGGCAGCACGGGAGUAGCAAUACAACUGGUGGCGACCGGCGCACGGGUGAGUAACGCGUAUGCAACCUACCUAUCAGAGGGGAAUAACCCGGCGAAAGUCGGACUAAUACCGCAUAAAACAGGGGCACCGCAUGGUGAUAUUUGUUAAAGAAAUUCGCUGAUAGAUGGGCAUGCGUUCCAUUAGGUAGUUGGUGAGGUAACGGCUCACCAAGCCGACGAUGGAUAGGGGAACUGAGAGGUUGGUCCCCCACACUGGUACUGAGACACGGACCAGACUCCUACGGGAGGCAGCAGUGAGGAAUAUUGGUCAAUGGGCGGGAGCCUGAACCAGCCAAGUCGCGUGAAGGAAGAAGGAUCUAUGGUUCGUAAACUUCUUUUGCAGGGGAAUAAAGUGCAGGACGUGUCCUGUUUUGUAUGUACCCUGAGAAUAAGGAUCGGCUAACUCCGUGCCAGCCGCCGCAGUAAUAC